rnacentral:rRNA from 1 species
GUGAGGAAUAUUGGUCAAUGGGCGGGAGCCUGAACCAGCCAAGUCGCGUGAAGGAAGAAGGAUCUAUGGUUCGUAAACUUCUUUUGCAGGGGAAUAAAGUGCAGGACGUUUCCUGUUUUGUAUGUACCCUGAGAAUAAGGAUAGGCUAACCCCGUGCCAGCAGCCGCGGUAAUACGGAGGAUCCGAGCGUUAUCCGGAUUUAUUGGGUUGUAAGGGUGCGUAGGUGGUUUGAUAAGUCAGCGGUGAAAGUUUGCAGCUUAACUGUUAAAAUGCCGGUGAAACUGUCGGACUUGAGUGUAAAUGAGGUAGGCGGAAUGCGUGGUGUAGCGGUGAAAUGCAUAGAUAUCACGCAGAACUCCGAUUGCGAAGGCAGCUUACUAAGCUACAACUGACACUGAAGCACGAAAGCGUGGGGAUCAAACAGGAUUAGAUACCCCAGUAGUCC